CAGGGCUCAGGUUAUUGUGCACACUGAUUCCCUGACGUGGCUUGCUGUGAUACCUAAAUGGAAAAAGACUCCAUCACCGAUUUAAUGAGUUAGACCUGGAGAAGGCAAAAUGUUUUGCUGCAAAAAAGGAGACACAAAUCCCAGCAAAGGCCAGACAACACAACUUACACAACUUCCUGCACAGUUUCAAUGAGGCAACGCAACCUCCUGGAGUUUACACCAUGACUGCAGGCAUUUGGAGCUGCAGCCUGUUGGUGAGUUCAGACAUCUUUAGAGGAAGACAGUGGGAUGGAGGAUGCAGCAGUGACUCUGGAGGACCCAAACAGCCUGAACAACUGCAGCGAGCAGGUGUUUCUCCUCUUCCUGAGCAACUCUGAACUCUCCAAAGAUGAAUUAACACAAUCCAUUUUGGCUGUUUGUUUUUUUUUUUUUAAAUAUAUAAUGAAAUUAUUACAAGAAGACAUUGGGUGUUACAUUUUUAAUUACAUUAUAAGAUUUAUACAGGAUUGGUUUUGGAGGGAAAAUGUUAGGUCGUGGAUACAUCAUUUUAUUAUAAAGAUAGAUGUGUACAGGUCAUAGAAAUGUACUUGCUGACUCAUAUUCAUUCAUAAUU